rnacentral:rRNA from 1 species
GUGAGUAACACGUGGGUAACCUGCCCAUCAGAAGGGGAUAACACUUGGAAACAGGUGCUAAUACCGUAUAACAAUCGAAACCGCAUGGUUUUGAUUUGAAAGGCGCUUUCGGGUGUCGCUGAUGGAUGGACCCGCGGUGCAUUAGCUAGUUGGUGAGGUAACGGCUCACCAAGGCCACGAUGCAUAGCCGACCUGAGAGGGUGAUCGGCCACAUUGGGACUGAGACACGGCCCAAACUCCUACGGGAGGCAGCAGUAGGGAAUCUUCGGCAAUGGACGAAAGUCUGACCGAGCAACGCCGCGUGAGUGAAGAAGGUUUUCGGAUCGUAAAACUCUGUUGUUAGAGAAGAACGAGGAUGAGAGUAACUGUUCAUCCCUUGACGGUAUCUAACCAGAAAGCCACGGCUAACUACGUGCCAGCAGCCGCGGUAAUACGUAUGUGGCAAGCGUUGUCCGGAUUUAUUGGGCGUAAAGCGAGCGCAGGCGGUUUCUUAAGUCUGAUGUGAAAGCCCCCGGCUCAACCGGGGAGGGUCAUUGGAAACUGGGAGACUUGAGUGCAGAAGAGGAGAGUGGAAUUCCAUGUGUAGCGGUGAAAUGCGUAGAUAUAUGGAGGAACACCAGUGGCGAAGGCGGCUCUCUGGUCUGUAACUGACGCUGAGGCUCGAAAGCGUGGGGAGCAAACAGGAUUAGAUACCCUGGUAGUCCACGCCGUAAACGAUGAGUGCUAAGUGUUGGAGGGUUUCCGCCCUUCAGUGCUGCAGCUAACGCAUUAAGCACUCCGCCUGGGGAGUACGACCGCAAGGUUGAAACUCAAAGGAAUUGACGGGGGCCCGCACAAGCGGUGGAGCAUGUGGUUUAAUUCGAAGCAACGCGAAGAACCUUACCAGGUCUUGACAUCCUUUGACCACUCUAGAGAUAGAGCUUCCCCUUCGGGGGCAAAGUGACAGGUGGUGCAUGGUUGUCGUCAGCUCGUGUCGUGAGAUGUUGGGUUAAGUCCCGCAACGAGCGCAACCCUUAUUGUUAGUUGCCAUCAUUCAGUUGGGCACUCUAGCAAGACUGCCGGUGACAAACCGGAGGAAGGUGGGGAUGACGUCAAAUCAUCAUGCCCCUUAUGACCUGGGCUACACACGUGCUACAAUGGGAAGUACAACGAGUCGCGAAGUCGCGAGGCUAAGCUAAUCUCUUAAAGCUUCUCUCAGUUCGGAUUGUAGGCUGCAACUCGCCUACAUGAAGCCGGAAUCGCUAGUAAUCGCGGAUC